UAUAUAUCCAUGCCUGCCUGAACACCCCAGCCACACUCAGACAAGGCCUCACUUAGACAAGGGUUCUACCUGAAGCUUGAUUUCACCAGAACAGAAAAUGCGGGCACUCAGGAGAUGGGGAGACUAGAGAUGGGAGCUCAGUGACUCCUCCAGCCGCUGACCCUUUGGAGACCAUCCUCUGCCCCUGGCGACCAGGAAAACACAUUCCCUCUCUACGCGGGAUUAAGGAAUAGGAUCUCUUUACACCCUCUCCCUUGUCUGGAGCUUGUCCCAGAACUAGGACUGGGGCUAGGUGGGGGUGAUUCCAGGGCCCAGUCUAGGCGUUUGUGGGUGGGGGCUAUGGCAGAAAAAGCCCCCAGCUGGACGUCAAGCGGUCCUAUUCUGCUCUGUCUUUGCAGCAGAGUCGACUUGAGGCUAGAGAGUCAAGCCUUGGGUGGGUUUCCAUCUCCAUCAGAUAGACCUGAGGAAGCCGCCUUAUUCUUGGGGGGGGGUGGUGGUUGCUCCCCCACUCUGGGCCUCCAUUUCUUCAUCUGCACAACCAGUGUAAGAACACCUCUUCUGGGCCUGGGGACUCCCCAAGAAGGUAUUGACCAUUAAAAUAUGGAUUACAUAUUCAUAUACAAUAUACAUACUUUUUUAGUGAAAUACACAUAAAAGUUAUCAUCUCAACCAUUGGUUAAGUGCAGAGGUCAGUGGCAUUAACUACAUUCCCAUUGCUGUGCAGCCCAAGGAGAUACUGUCCUUUAAACAGUACUGUCCAUGCCCCAGGCUCCCCUCUGGGGCCCCAGCUGUGCUGGUGUCAUCCUCUGCCUGUCCAUGUGCACCUGAGUGGCAAGAUGACUCAUGUGUUCCUCUCUCUCCAGGCUGAGACCAUGUGUCGUUCAUCUCCUGGUCCCCAGUGCGCCGCACAGGCUUGGCACAGACUGGACACUCCAUAAAAAGGAGCGAGUUAGCCUUGCGGGAGGUGGAGCCAUCACGGACCAAGCUGUUGGUGCAGUUUCUCAGGGUGGCUGCACUGGAGCAUGACGGUGCUGCUGCUGCUGCUGCUAAGUCGAUUCAGUCGUGUCCGACUCUGUGUGACCCCAGAGACGGCAGCCCACCAGGCUCUGCCGUCCCUGGGAUUCUCCAGGCAAGAACACUGGAGUGGGUUGCCAUUUCCUUCUGCAAUGUAUGAAAGUGAAAAGUGAAAGUGAAGUCGCUCAGUCGCGUCCGACUCGUAGACUCAUGGACUGCAGCCCACCAGGCUCUUCCAUCCAUGGGAUUUUCUAGGCAAGAGUACUGGAGUGGCGUGCCAUUGCCAUCUCCGGGAGCAUGAUGCAGGGGGUCUCAAACCACGCAUAUCCCUCCAGACAGCACAUCCAGAUCACUUAACCCUCCGGAGAGCUUUAGAGAAGGGUGCUAGUCAUCUCCACUUUAGAGAUGAGGAAACUGGGGUCAAGGGAGGGUGUGUGACUUGCCCCAGCAUCAUCCUCUGAGGCUACUGGCAGAGCUGGGAUUCAAAGCCAGGUGCUGGGGUGGGGUUGCACUAGUUUUCUUUAAAUUAUGAAACUUUUUAAUUGAUGAAAGCACUCUACAUCAUUAAACGCACUUUGAAAGUGAUUACAUUUCACUUCAAUUGUAAGUUAUCUUUUGUUAAUAUACCUUGAUUUAAAGAAUACCCUAAAUUUGCAUUGACAGGUUGCUAGGUGAAUCAUUAGACUGAAUGCACAACUGCCUUAUUACAAUUCUUUUCUCUCCUCAGUGAGUCUGAAAUGAUUGAGUCUAAAUUAGAGAACAGGACAGUAAACCUUAUAAAUGGCUAGUGUUUCUGAGAUGCAUCAGCAAGAUCUCUGCUAACCCUUUGAAUGAACCCUUUUACUUGAGUAAAGAACUUAGUCCAAUUUAAUAACAUUUGGAUUUAAGGCUGUUUUUUCAAAGCCUAUUAGCAGUUCUCAGGGACUGGCUCAGAUUAAAAUCAAUCAGCAGAGCUUCCAGAGUUCAAAUCUCUGUGGAUUUGGCAGAUUGCGGAUGCCUCAGUUUCCUUGUUUGUAAACGGGGACAGUAAUGAUUAAUGAGUUGGCUGAUGAAAUAGUGCCCGGUGCUCACAGUAUCAAUUAUUACUGUCUCACCUGAGCUAGCUGUUUUUGCUGAUAGCUUCCACUUCACCAGUUCACCUCGAGGCCAUGUGACUGGAACUCACGUUUUAUUAUGAAAAAUUUCAGGCAUACAGAAAGGGUGAAAGAAUAGCAGUCAUGGACACCCUUACACCCUACAUAGACUCAAUAAUUGUGUUGCGCCAUUUAAUUCAUUUACUGGUGUGUGUAUUUUCUUCUGAACAUUUCAAGCAAGUUGCUAACAUCAUGACCUUUUACUGCCAAACACUUCAGCAUGCAUCUUUUAAGGUCUAGACAUUUUCCUAAGCAACCACCAAAGUGAACAUUUCUAUAGUAUCUUUUAACACCUAAUUCAUAUUCAAAUUUCUCUUCUCAGCAGAGGGUACCUUCAAAUUUUUGGAUUUUUGCCAACCUGAAGGAUGCGAGUCUCUCACCUUCGUUAGAAUUUUCUUGUCUCUUAUUAUGAUUAUGAAUACACAUCUUCUUACAUGUUCUGGGUCCUUUUGCAGCUCUUUUCCUGGAACUAUCUCCUUGUGGUUUUUGUCCAUUAUAAAAUCAUACUUUUGUUUUUUUUUAAUCUCUAUUUUUAAAUACUCCUUAAAUACCAGUGAAAUUAGCCUUUGUCUACCACUUGUCUUUUUUUUUUUUUUAAAUGUUGCUUAUGAAGUUUUAUUUUUGCCAUAAAAAGCUUUUUAAAAAUUUAUGUAGUUGAAUUUAUCAAGUUUUUCUUUUACUGUUUCCGAAUUUUGAGUCCUAAACUGAAAGGCUUUUCUCACUCCAUUGUUAUAUAGGAAUCCCCUCAUGUUUUCUUCUACAAGUUUUAUGGGUUCACUUAAAAAAAUCUGAGUCUCUGGUCCAUUGGAUAUGUAUUCAAAUGUGUGGUGUGAGGUAUAGCUCUUUUUAUCUUUUUUCAAAAUGACUGUCCAAUUGUCUCAAGAUCACUUAUUUAAAAGUCCAUCAUGUCCCAAUGAUUUGAGAUGCAACUUUCAUCAUACAUCAAAUUUCAGUAUGUACUUGGGCAAAUUUCUGGACUUCCUAUUCUGUUUCAUUGCUCUGCCUGGCUAUUCAUGUUCCUAACUACACCAUUUUAAUUGCUGGGGCUUUAUGAUAUGUUUUAAUAUCUGGUAGGACUUAUCCCCACAACACUGCUUUUCUUUUUCAGUUUUUCUGUCUAUUCUUGAUUAUUAUUUCAUAUCAACUUCAGUAUCAACUCCAGGGAAAACAAAAAACCAUCCCAUCUUCAGUAUUUUCAUGAAGAUCAUGUUAAAUGGAUAUAUUAAUAUUUACCUGGGCCAUACUGAACAUGUUAUUCUUAGGCAGCUAUCUCUGGGGCUCUGUUUUGGGUUGAAUUAUGUUCUGCCCAAAAGAUACGCCUAAGUCCCAACCCCCACUUCAGAAUGUGACCUUAUUUGGAAACAAGGCCUUCACUAAGGUAAUCAAGUUAAAAUGAGAUCAUUAGGGUGGAACCUAAUCCAGCAUGACUGAUGAAGAUGGAGGCAGAGAUUGGAGUGAUGACUCUACAAGCCAGGGAAUAUCUAAGACUGCCCGCCAGGCACCAGAAGCUGAGAGAGAGCCCUGGGACAGAUGCUCCCUUACAGCUCUCAGAGGGCACUAGCCUCGCCAACACCUUGGUCUUGGACUUCUGGCUUCCAGAGCUGUUAGACAAUCAGUUUCUGUUGUUUUAAGCCACUCAGCUUGUGGUACUUUGUUUCAACAGCCCUAGGAAUUAACUUUAAGCCCCCCAGAGGAAAUCUUAGGCUAGAAGUGAGAUGCCCAGCCAUGGUCUCAAGACAUUGAGAAGCAUUUGUGUGCUUUCCUGACCCCAAGUGAGGCCAGCCAGGUCUGUUUCUUGCCUGCCUGAAGUUGGGUGAGUGAACCAAUGAAAGCGUUGGAAAGCUGGAGGUGUGACUUCACUCUCAAUGCGUGGCCAAACCCACUGAGAUCCAGGCCAGCGAAUGAAUCAUUUGUGCAAUGUGGCUCAGUGAGUCAGGGAGGGCCAGGCAGAAAGCCCCAGUUUGAGGUCGAUUUCCUUUCCCCCUUCCUUAGGAAUCUAGAAGCAGCCCCCUAAAAGUCAUUAUCCCACGAAAUGACCGCGAAAUGAUGCAACACUCUACCCUCAUGAUACACGCACCAUGUGCUGUGGAGAGAUAAGGACAAAGGACUUAGAGAGAGGGAGUGACAGGCCCCAGGCAGUGGCUCUUACUUGCUGCCUUUGGACAAGUUAGUUAACUUCUCUGAGCCUCAGUACCCUCCUCUCUUAUUGUGGAGGUGGUUAAUGGUACCUGCCUCACAGAGCUAGUGUCAUGAUCUAAGAGGAAAUGUAUAUAAAACACUUGGCAAAAGGCUAGGCUCAUAGCAAGCACUCAGGGCUUAAUUGCUCCGUCAUGUCCCACUCUACAACUCCAUGGACCAUAGCCCUCCAGGCUCCUCUGUCCAUGGAAUUCUCCAAACAAGAAUACUGGAGUGGGUUGCCAUGCCCUUCUUCGGGAUUUUCCUGAGCCAGGGAUCAAACCCAGGUCUCCCACGUUGUAGGUGGAUUAUUUACCAUCUGAGCCACCAGGAAGCCCAAGUGCUCAGUAGAGAUUAGCAAUUAUUAGUAAAAUUGCCCCAAAUAACUUAGACAUGAAGGCAAAAUUGGUGGGCACAAUUUCUGAGUCUUCAACUAGGAUUCUGAACACACCACUGGUAACUUCUGGCUUCCAGAGCUGUUAGACAAUCAGUUUCUGUUGUUUUAAGCCACUCAGCUUGUGGUACUUUGUUUCAACAGCCCUAGGAAUUAACUUUAAGCCCCCCAGAGGAAAUCUUAGGCUAGAAGUGAGAUGCCCAGCCAUGGUCUCAAGACAUUGAGAAGCAUUUGUGUGCUUUCCUGACCCCAAGUGAGGCCAGCCAGGUCUGUUUCUUGCCUGCCUGAAGUUGGGUGAGUGAACCAAUGAAAGCGUUGGAAAGCUGGAGGUGUGACU
ensembl:lncRNA